rnacentral:ncRNA from 1 species
GAUAAAGUUUUUAUGUUUUAUAAAGUUUAUUGUAAGUUUAUUUUACAUAUAAAUUUUAGUAUUAAAUUUUAAUUAUUUUAAAAAUAAUUAAUUGUGAAAGAUAGUAAUUAAAAUUAAAAAUUUAAGAAAUUAAGAUUUAGUAAUAUAAAAAUUAAUAACUAAUUUUGUGCCAGCAGUUGCGGUUAUACAAAAAUUAAAUUAAAUUAUUUCAGUAUUUAAUAAAUAAAAUAUAAUUAAAAUAAAUAUUAAAUUAUUAGGUGAAAUUUUAAUUUAAUUAAAUUUUAAAUUAAUUUUAUGAUUUAAUAAAUUUGGUAAUAAACUAGGAUUAGAUACCCUAUUAUUAAAAAUUUAAUUAAUAAUGCUAAAAUAGUAAAUAAUAAAUAUUGAAACUUAAAUAAUAUGGCGGUAUUUUAGUUCAUUUAGAGGAACCUGUUUAAUAAUUGAUAAUCCACGAAUAAAUUUACUUAAUUUAUUAUUUUAUAUAUCGUUGUUAAAAAAAUAUUUUUUAAUAAAAAUAAUAUUUAAAAAUUUAAAAUAUAAAUUAAUUCAGAUCAAGAUGUAGAUUAUAAUUAAGAAUAUAAUGGGUUACAAUAAAAUAAUUUAAAAUGAAUAAUUAAUUUUAAGAUUAAUUUAAAGGUGGAUUUAAAUGUAAUUUUAAUUAAUUUAUUAAAAUGAUUAAAAAUUGAAAUAUGUACAUAUUGCCCGUCACUUUCAUUUUAAAAUUGAAAUAAGUCGUAACAAAGUAGAAGUACUGGAAAGUGUUUCUAGAAUGAA